AAAACAGUUACGUGAUUUUAGUAGGCAAGUAUAUCAAUGGUUCUAAACUCUAGCUUCUCUAUCGCAGUUAAGUCCAAUAAAAGCUCUGUGUUCUACACCUUGAGAUCAACAAGAGGACACAUUCUUGCUAAUUUGGGAAAGUAUGAAAAGAUUCAUAAACCACCAUCUGGACCGAAUCCAAAUGGAAAUCACCGUCCACCAUCAAGGGACAAACCCAACUGGAAAUCAUCAUCCACCAUCAGGCCAUGAACAGAAGAAUGAGCUCGCCGUAUGAAACCACAAUUUUCGAAUUGGAGGGAAAAUACAAGAAGAUCCAUAUACCACUACUGGGCCAAAGACAACUAGAAAUUGUUGCCUGCCAUCAAGGCCAUGACCAGAAGAACGAGCUAGCUGUAUGAAAACAUAAUAUUUGCUGAGAGUUGGAGGUUAGACAUAUAUGUAAUAGUUAGAAGAUUUAAGAUUUAGGUUAUUGUGCUUGUACAAACACUGGGAUAUCUGUAAGAUUAAAAUUUUAU